rnacentral:rRNA from 1 species
AUUGAACGCUGGCGGCAUGCCUUACACAUGCAAGUCGAACGGUAACGCGGGGCAACCUGGCGACGAGUGGCGAACGGGUGAGUAAUAUAUCGGAACGUGCCCAUUAGUGGGGGAUAGCCCGGCGAAAGCCGGAUUAAUACCGCAUACGACCUACGGGUGAAAGCGGGGGAUCGCAAGACCUCGCGCUAUUGGAGCGGCCG